CAGUUCAGAUUGCAGGCUGCAACUCGCCUGCAUGAAGUCGGAAUUGCUAGUAAUCGCAGAUCAGCAUGCUGCGGUGAAUACGUUCCCGGGCCUUGUACACACCGCCCGUCACACCAUGGGAGUCGGUAACACCCGAAGUCGGUAGCCUAACCGUAAGGAGGGCGCCGCCGAAGGUGGGAUUGAUGACUGGGGUGAAGUCGUAACAAGGUACC
rnacentral:rRNA from 1 species